ACUCCUACGGGAGGCAGCAGUAGGGAAUCUUCGGCAAUGGAAGAAAGUCUGACCGAGCAACGCCGGGUGAGUGAAGAAGGUUUUCGGAUCGUAAAACUCUGUUGUUAGAGAAGAACAAGGAUGAGAGUAACUGUUCAUCCCUGGACGGUAUCUAACCA
rnacentral:rRNA from 1 species